GUCGAGCGAGAACCCAGCAAUGGGGGACAGCGGCGAAAGGGACAGUAAUGUGUAGAUUAUCUGCCCUCAGGUCCGGGAUAGCUGCGGGAAACUGCAGGUAAUACCGGAUAAUAUCUCCGGAUCAAAGGUGUGAUUCCGCCUGGGGAUGAGUCUACAUCCUAUUAGCUAGUUGGUAGGGUAACGGCCUACCAAGGCUUUGAUGGGUAGCGGGUGUGAGAGCACGACCCGCGUCAUUGGGACUGAGACACUGCCCAGACACCUACGGGUGGCUGCAGUCGAGAAUCUUCGGCAAUGGGCGCAAGCCUGACCGAGCGACGCCGCGUGCGGGAUGAAGGCCUUCGGGUUGUAAACCGCUGUCAGAGGGGAUGAAAUGCGUGGGGGUUCUCCCCCACGUUUGACAUAGCCUCAGAGGAAGGACGGGCUAAGUUCGUGCCAGCAGCCGCGGUAAGACGAACCGUCCAAACGUUAUUCGGAAUUACUGGGCUUAAAGGGUGCGUAGGCGGCGCGGAAAGUUGGGUGUGAAAUACCUCGGCUCAACCGAGGAACUGCGCCCAAAACUUCCGUGCUCGAGGGAGAUAGAGGUGAGCGGAACUUAGG
rnacentral:rRNA from 1 species